rnacentral:sRNA from 1 species
GCUGGGUGCAGUGGCACACACCUGUAAUUUCAGCAGCUCAGGAGGCUGAAGCAGGAGGAUCACAAGUUCAUAGCUAGCCUUACCAAUGGCGAGGUGCUAAGGAACUCAGUGAGACCCUGUCUCUA